rnacentral:tRNA from 1 species
GGGCCCGUGGCCUAGCUGGAUAAGGCGGCAAGUCUCAGACCCGCAAGCCUUCUAAGCUGCAGAUCCGGGGUUCGAAUCCCCGCGGGCCCGCC